rnacentral:tRNA from 1 species
GGAGGAUAUAGCUCAGUGGCAGAGCACAUGCUUGGCAUGCAUGAGGUCCUGGGUUUGAUCCCCAGUAUCUCCA